rfam:Salmo salar isolate Sally breed double haploid chromosome ssa10, whole genome shotgun sequence.
UGUAUUCACUACUGUAAGUCGCUCUGGAUAAGAACGUCUGCUAAAUGACUUAAA